UCUCUUGAUUUUCCUGGUAAUAGUUUCGAUUGUAGUGUUAUUUUUAUGAAUAGGGUUGUGGUUUACUUCAACUGGUUCUUAUAAUGAUUCCUGAUGAUGAUGGUGUGGUAGUGGUGAUGAAGCAGAAGUUGGUCGCAUUGCUUAUCAGUUCUGUUUGUUUUUUUUUACUUUGAUUUUUUUUUUUACUUUGAUUUGGUGUUCGUUGAUUUGAUGGAAUUGUAAUGAGAACUGUCUUUGAUAUCAAGAGACUUAUCAGAAGAAGGUUUGAUGAUAAAGAGGUACAUAGAGAUAUGAAACUCUUACCAUACAAGAUUGUCAACAAGGAAGGAAAGCCAUAUGUUGAGGUUAAACUUAAGGAUGGGGAGACUAAGGUUUUCAGUCCUGAGGAAAUUAGUGUUAUGAUUCUGACCAAGAUGAAGGAAACCGCUGAAGCAUUCUUAGAAUGCUGUCAUUACUGCUCCUGGAAUGAUUAAGAACCAAAUCAAAUUAAUUCAUGUUUGAUUCCACAAUUUAUUAUGUGGAUUUGGAAGAAUUUGAAAUUUUUUAUGUGGAUUUUUUAAAUGUAGCUGAAUCGUUGUCGUGUUCUUUGUUCUACAACAUACUUUAAUGAUGCUUACUACCAAGGAUGCCGAUGUGAUUGCUGGAUUAAAUGUAGCAAGAAUCAUCAACGAGCCAGCCGCAGCAGCUAUGGCUUAUGGUUUGUAAAAAAAAACGGAGAAAAGAACAUCCUUGUUUUUGAUCUUGGUGGUGGUACAUUAGAUGUCAGUAUCUUGACUAUUGAUAAUGGAGUUUUUGAGAUGUAGAGGAAUAAAUGAUUCUGGUUUUGGAGAAGUGAUGAUGAUGAAAAUGGAGGAACAAAUGGUUCUGGUUUUGGAGAAUUGAUGAUGAAGAAAAUGAAGGUGGUCACCACGACGAUGAUAAUAAUGAUUCGUUCUCUUUGUUCUGUGAUAUAUACUAAUAUUAUAGGUUGGGAUAACGUAGUUGAUGUAGAACCAGGGAGAAGAGAGUUUGAAUCUUUCCAUCUAGAGACGCAAUACUUCCAUGAUCAUGCAACUUUCACAGUAGUUGUUGGCCUGAACCAGCAGUGCGAGCAAGUGAAUGCUCCUGAUCCAAUUAUCAACACUUGCAGUGACUUUUACAAAUUCUGGCAGGCAACCCAUGAUUUGCACGAGGCCAUAAAUCUCUGUUAUGCAGCAUCGAUAGCAACUAAUCCUAUGGAAGAUAAUCUUGGUGAUAACUUAGAGUUUCUGUGCUUAUGGAAUGUUAUGACGUACUGAGAUUCUCCAUGGAAAGUGGUGCCAAGGGUUGCAAGGUUCUGUUCAUGUCCUGGUUACUUUGGGGAUUAUACCAUUGUGAGAGGCAUGGUAGUCUCAAUGGUAGAGAAGGGCUGUGGUAACAGGCAAGAGGGUUGAAGAAGCAUUUGAAGAGGAUCAAUGCGCUUAAGCAUUGCAUGCUUGGCAAGCUUGGUGGUGCCUUUAUAAGUCCUGCUGGAAUCCUCCGUUGUGCUCAAGGAUGUGUUUUGCUUGACAGAGACGGGGUUCGCAGAAAAGAAAAGCUACACAUUUAUUACAAUUUAUUCUCAAACUCAAAGAAGUAGCUGAAGAUAUUUAGAAGGUUGUUGCUGCCUAUGACCGCAAAAUUGCUUAUGGUGUGCUCAGCCAUCAGCUGAAGCAGUUUGUGGUAGAUGAGAACAAGGUUGUACUCAUUAUUCCAGGUCCCGAUACCAGAUUCAAUGAUGCUGAAUUUCAAGAAAUGUAUGACUUUCUUACUGCUAGAUCUCAGUCAUCCUAUCUGAUCUAUUUGGCUAUGUAAAUAUUUAUAUCCCUUUCUUUCUUUUAUUUGUUGUUUUCUGAAUCAUAACUUAUUUUGCUUUGCUACAGAUAGCUAGCUUGGACAUGUGUUGUUCUGAACUAAGAAUUUCAUUCUUAUGUGUAAUUUAAACCCAAUGAAUGAAAGAAUGGAAGUUGAAUUCUCAAUUGGAGUUUAAAUUUGAGUUAAAUUUGAAUUUCAGUUUGACUUCGACUUGACUUUGCUGUGACUUUGACUUCCAUUUGAUUUGACUUUGA